GUCAAGGCUGUCAAUGUCAUCAUUGUUACAGAAUAUGUGCAGGCCCUCCUGACCACUUCCAGGAAACCAUCUUCUGUGCAGAGGAGGAGGAUUGUCAGCAAGAUGGAAGAAGAUCAUAGGAUGCUGCAAACUGUCUUUAAAGAGUGCUUAGGUCCUGCAGCUGGUCCCCUUAAGGAUCCUAUAAAAGCAAUUUUAGAACUUAUUCAGACUUCUGAUGCUGAGGGGAUGAAAAUAGCCCUGCUGCCCAUUCUCAAAGAAUUUCCUGAUCUAAGGAAGGAACAUCUGAGUGCAGUGCUGGACAUCAAAGGUUCACUCAGCCGAGAAGACAGAGCUGCUCUCUUGAAGGCAUUUCACGAUAACUGCAGGGAAUCAGAAACAGAAGCAAACUUGCUUUUUGCAGAUAUAGAAGUAAAAUCUAGAAAAUAUGGACUCUGUGGCUGCUUCUGCUGUUAGAAAAGGCCUGCUAUGAGAAACUUGAGGUCUGGCUCCCACGUGGCAGCAUCUGAAAUCACAGCUCCUUGAAAGCUUCAGGGACCUGUGCAGCUGGAUGCACAGAGAAGCCUGACAGCUAUGGAAGACACAAUUCCUGUGCUUUUGCAGGAAAACCACGUGGCCCAAAUCCUAAUCUUCUAUGUGAAGUCCAGGUGCAAGAUGAAUGGGAUAUGGCAGAAAGACAUUCCUUCAAAAUUUCCUAGAGAUUGCUGCCUAGCUGAGUCCUGGUGGUUAUUCCCAGGAUGCGGCACAUGUGGAGGAGGAAGAAGGUUCCCCCUCACCAAAUUUCUCUCUGCUUCCAUCCCUUGUUUCAUGCAGCCUCACAGGAAACAACAGACUGCUGCACCACAUGGUGUUUUAGCAGAUGACACGGCAUCACAACCUCUCCCAGGGACCCAGGACCCUCCAUUAGGGAAUCCUGCCUAGCCCACGGUGCUGGUGGGUGCCUCCAGGUUUGGGCACCUGGAUCCAGCCCCCAAAGCCUGACCUUUACCAGGAGGGGUGCACACAGAGCUGCCUCUUCCCUCGUUCCCCACACACGAAGUCUGUGACCUGCUUUGUGGGUAGCCUGCUGUGGUACUGACUGUGGGAUGUGGAGCUCUUCCCAUAUAAGUUUUACAGCUGGCUCUGGAGCCUUGCAUUCAUUUUUAUACCUCAGUUACUGGAAAUUUCCUCUUGGAGAGGGAGGGGAAAGUCUCAUGGGAAGCAGGCAGUGAAUGGAGCUGUUUGUCCCAGCCUCUGGGCAAGGUCUGUGCUGUUUUCAGAUGUAAAUAGGCAGUUCCGCAGGGAAAACAUUGACUUUUCUUCCCAGUUAUCUAUGGACCGGUCACAACCUCCUAGCUGGAUUUCGUUCAAGGCCCUCCUUUGGUAUUGUGUUAAUAUAGGCCAUUGCCAUUCCUUUCUGGCUGUAUAAACAAGCAAAAAAGGCUCUGCUACCUCAGACGUGCCAGUGCUUUUCUGAGUGGCCAUUCCCCCUCGAAUCUGCUUCCCUAACAAGAAAAGAGGAAAAUUUGUGCAUAACCCAUCAGUGUGUAAAGGUGGGGACUUGUCUGGCCCUGGGACCCUGAGAAAGCACAGACCUGGGUGGGUGCUGCCGUGCUCUGCAGUGCCGUGCUGUCGCUCCAAGGGUGCGGGUGUCCUGGCUUAGGGGCAGCUGCUCUGCCUAGAGCCCGUUGUGCAGAUGGGGUCCUGUGAGCUUGACAGGAGCCGGGGCGGGUUUAUAAUUGUUGUGAGCUUUGCUCCUGGCACAGUGCUGAGUGUGGGGCAAGUGGCAGGGAAGCGGGAAGGAACAGGCUGCUCUGUCUCCGGGGAGUCCUCUCUGAGGUUUCAAGGCACCAUGAGACCUCGGCGUCGUUGCACUCUGUCCCUCACAUCAUUAAAGGGCAAGGAGAGUGUCCUGUGGCCUGCCUGCCCUUCCUGACCACACAUCUUCUUCAAGGGCCCUGUCCCUGUGUCCCUUGCAUUUUAUAGCUGUCCACUGCAGCUUUGGUGAGAACUUUCCUGGGACUUGGGAAGGCUGGGGGAGCUGGACAAGCUGCAGCCUGGCCAGGUGGGCACGGGUCGGGUGGGCUGUGGGGCUGGGUGGACACCUGCCCUCCGAAGGGUGCCAGCCCUGCCAGGCAUGCUGGGCCAGUCACCCUCCCCUCCCGCCUAAUUGCACCUUUUUUUCAAGGGCGGGAAGGGAUGACAGACGACUGCAACAGCAGGGGCAGAAUCAGCCUCUGCCAAUGGGGAUUUCAAGCAACAAGUCUUCCAGAGAAAAUAAAUAAAAAUCCCUCUGACAUUUCGAUUACC